rnacentral:rRNA from 1 species
CGGUGCGCGCAGAANGGUCUGGGCCUGAGCCUGCCUGGAGCCGCCGCCGGUGCAGAUCUUGGUGGUAGUAGCAAAUACUCCAGCGAGGCCCUGGAGGACUGAUGUGGAGAAGGGUUUCGUGUGAACAGCCGUUGCACACGAGUCAGUCGAUCCUAAGCCCUAGGAGAAAUCCGAUGCAAACGGCGAUGGGAAACGCACUGCACUCGCACAGUAAAAUGGUGUGAUGAGACAGAGACCCAUUAAACGGGCGAAAGGGAAUCCGGUUCCUAUUCCGGAACCCGGCAGCGGAACCGUUGUUUGUCGGGCCCUCACAAGGGGUUCGUCAGGGCAACCUAAAAGGGCCCGGAGACGCCGUCGGGGGCCCCGGAAAGAGUUUUCUUUUCUGCAUGAGCGUUCGAGUUCCCUGGAAUCCUCUCGCAGGGAGAUAGGGUUUGGAGCGCGAAGAGCACCGCAGUUGCGGCGGUGCACGGGAAUUCCCGACGGACCUUGAAAAUCCGGGAGAGGGCCACGUGGAGGUGUCGCGCCGGUUCGUACCCAUAUCCGCAGCAGGUCUCCAAGGUGAAUAGCCUCUAGUC